UACAGAGGUCUCAAGCGUUGUUCGGAUUCAUUGGGCGUAAAGGGUGCGUAGGUGGCGCCGUAAGUCGGGUGUGAAAUUUCGGAGCUUAACUCCGAAACUGCAUUCGAUACUGCGGUGCUUGAGGACUGGAGAGGAGACUGGAAUUCAUGGUGUAGCAGUGAAAUGCGUAGAGAUCAUGAGGAAGACCAGUGGCGAAAGCGGGUCUCUGGACAGUUCCUGACACUGAGGCACGAAGGCCAGGGGAGCAAACGGG
rnacentral:rRNA from 1 species